rnacentral:rRNA from 1 species
GAUGAACGCUGACAGAAUGCUUAACACAUGCAAGUCAACUUGAACUUCGGUUUGGGUGGCGGACGGGUGAGUAACGCGUAAAGAACUUGCCUCACAGCUAGGGACAACAUUUGGAAACGAAUGCUAAUACCUGAUAUUAUGAUUAUAUGGCAUCGUAUAAUUAUGAAAGCUAUAUGCGCUGUGAGAGAGCUUUGCGUCCCAUUAGCUAGUUGGAGAGGUAACAGCUCACCAAGGCGAUGAUGGGUAGCCGGCCUGAGAGGGUGAUCGGCCACAAGGGGACUGAGACACGGCCCUUACUCCGACGGGAGGCAGCAGUGGGGAAUAUUGGACAAUGGACCGAGAGUCUGAUCCAGCAAUUCUGUGUGCACGAUGAAGUUUUUCGGAAUGUAAAGUGCUUUCAGUUGGGAAGAAAAAAAUGACGGUACCAACAGAAGAAGUGACGGCUAAAUACGUG